AGCGCUGAACAAAAAUCUGCAGAAAAGGCUCAGAAUUAUCCAAAAGAGGACUUGUGCAAACAAACAAUAAUCGGCGAACAACUACAUGUUUUUUGUAAACAGAGGAGCAGAUCAAUGUCGCGACUAUAGUCUCCUCUGCAGGCAACUCGAUUGGCAUAAAUAGCAGGAUUGCACAAUACUUUAUAGAGAAAUGAUGUGGGUAACAGGGUAUCAAGAGGGAUAAUUGUGCAGUGAGGAACCCCUCACUACCCCUCAAUAUGCUAAAUAUACUGUGUAAACUUCACCGUUGUUUUCCACCGAGUUCCCUGGGGAGGACACUAUAUAGGUCGCGAUUAGCAGUAUCAGUAAUUUAUAUGACGUAUUAUAAGAAUACGCCAUCACACAUAUAUGUACAGCUGUUUCAAAAAAGGUUGUCCUUCAAAAAUCUCAAACCUAAAACUCUAAGCGCGCAAGGUAUGAUGGGUAACUUCUUACUCAAGGCCUGAAACGUGCGAAUUGAGCAUUGUAACUAUGGCAAGAGAAAUAAUAAACACUUUUAAGAUGUACAACUAACAGUGUACUAGGAUCAAUACAUUUGCCCAAUCAAAAGCCCUAAAAAGAAGUUACCCAUCACUCUUUGCGCGCUUAGAGUUUAAGGUUUGAGAUUUUCGAAGAACAACCUUUUUGGCGUCUACUGGAACAGUAGUCGCCAUAUGCUGUCGACAAGAGGUUGAGAUAGAGUGGACGGUCCACUUCUCCUGCCGACAGGCUCUUUUGUUAGGCUAAAGCCCGCGCAUCUGCGAGAUUUCCGACGUUAUUAUAACGAUCUCCGCGAGUAUUUGCAGUGGAAAUACGAAAAUAUCACCAAAAAAUUCCACUUGAAAGAUACUCUAUACUAGAACAAUGUAAAAUAGCCAUGAAAUAUAAACUAGCCAUACUCGAACACUGUAAACUAGCCGCACCAUUCCUAUAUACAAUGCACUCGAACAAUGUAAACAAAUAAAACAAUGUACGACAAUGUAUCACUAAGCCAUACCUUUCGCCGAAUAUAACUUUAGUC